AAUGGUUUAACAGCACCUCUCAACUUUAAGAAGGAGCCCAAGAGACUCACUCUUCAACUCCGUAUCAUCCCAGGUCCUGCACUCUAGGGUCCCACCUGCCUUCCCAGCACACAGCUUAGCAGGCUCAACCUGAAGGACUCUGUAUCCUUCAAAGCUCAGUUUAAGUCCAGUAUUUCAAAAACAUAAUUUCCUGCUCAUAGAACCUACCCCUUCUUCUAAGUUUCCAAGGCACAGUCUCAUUACUUCCCCUACACUGUCUAGUCUUGGAGAGUUUAUUUUUUCAUGGGCACAUGUCUUCCCACCCCCGUCGGAUGAGGAGCUCCUUCUGGGUAAGUCCUCACGCCCAGAACACCUCCAGAGCCAUGAGUCAUGGCACACCGCAGACAUUCAGAAACUAUCGAAGCACAGUUCUCAUGGCUGGAGGCAGCCAUACAAGAUGGAAAACCAGCGUCUCACCAGUGCCCCAUCUCUACAUUUUCACCUAAUGUGCUUUUUACUGUCUUCAGACUGGUUCCUCCAGUUAGAGUCACAUCUGGGCCAGUCAAAUCCCCAACUGAGAGUCUCCCACCAAGAGGCACAAAUCUCUUUGAACACCUGCAACAACCAGAAAUCUCCCACACUUGAUGCGUUCUACCCAAUUGUUGGGUAUAUGCUCUUAAAUACUGAGUUCGACCUAUCUCUAUGGUCUUCUUGAUUAAAUCCCUAUGAGCAGCAGGGGAGAGGGGAUGAGCACAGGGCCAGUGGGGAAAGCAAGGCAACACGACAGCUAAGGUGUCGACUUUAAAAUCACACAGACCUGGGUUCACAUACAGCCUGCCAUCAGGGAAAGGCACUGAACCUCCUUGAGGCUCUCGUGGAUAUUAGAGGUGGAACAGAAACAUAACUCAGGCAGAGUGUUUGGUACUUUAAGCAUGCAAUAAAAUGGCAGCUAUCAUGGUAAUUAGUUCUAUUCCUGUCUCUUAUUCCAGUUUGCCAUAUAACCAGAGUGCUGAUCACACCCCUGGACUCUCCACAAUGUCUGCACACCCAUCCACAGGGUGUUUGCAAAGCCUCAGCCACCACCCUGUUCCGUUUGCUGCUGGUUGGCAUGACUGGAAGCAUGGACUCACCAGGCUUCCCAUCCAAAAUGCUGACACUAAGGGGACAGUGCAAAAACAGAGAAAUGCAGAUUCUUGGGCUACUGCCUGGAAAGGUGCUGUCCACAACUCUGCAAAGGUGACAAAGGACACCAGAUGCCACAGCAGCUGCCUCAGUCGCCUGGAGCUGUCGACAUCGCUCAAGCCUCUACCAUCAUAGCCCCAGAAACAGACAACAGGAAGCAGGGCAAAGGUGGAAAAGGAGAGAAUGAAAGAGCACAUGACUCGGUGUGUGUUCUUCACAGCCAAGCUUCCAAGUCACUCGCUGCAUUGUGACUUGCCAGCCAUGAGCACCAAGGACAAGGGCACAUCCUCUGCCCACUUCCACUUCCUACCUGUCAAUGAAGGUUGCAAGCAGCUCAGGAUGCUGAGAAAGUAUAUCCUCAGGCAAAAAAGGCCUGGGAUCCAGUCCUGCCUGUGCACUAACAUUUUUGUGACCUUGGGAGGCUGAGUGACCUCUUUCAGCCUCGCUUUCUUCAUCUCUACAAGUGGAGGUUGGCCUGGACUGCUGGAUCUUUAAAUAACUGCAGAUGCCUGACAGAAACACCCAGGCAACUUUGUUCUAAUCACUUGUGUGCAGGCCUAUCUCUCAGGGAUUCGAAUGAGAACUAGGGAGGGAAGUAUGUUUAUAUUUUUUAAAUUCUCCAGUUAGUUCUGAAGGUUAUGAGUCAUCGAUCAGUCUUAAAGACCCCUACACCCCCUUCACCUGAGACCAUUAUGACUCACCUUAGAACCUGGCACAUGACAGGCACAAAAUAAAUGCUCACUCCUUCUGCCAUCACAUCCACCCCCGGCCCAAAGCAAUGGGAGCCACACAGGCUCCACUAGGCAAGAUGGCAGCUGGUGCCACACGGGAAACUGUGCUGGCCUACCAGACCCACUCCUGCAUUUAAAAAUACCCAAGGUCCAUCACUGGGAGGUUCCCACCAAUGGAAAGAACAGGAAGAGGAUGCCUGCAAAAACACACAUGCCCAAAAGGACAGAGCUGAGUUCUAGAAUAGUGCUCCCCAAAACUUACUGUGUACACACAUCACUCGAGGGACUUGUUUAAUGUAGAUUCUGGGGUGGGGCUAAGAUUAUUCGUGUUUAAAAGAUCCCAUGCUAUACUGAUGCUACUGGCCCAAGAAACAGACCCUGCACAGAAACGUUCUGAGCACAGUCACAGCAAAGAGUAAAUUUGCACAUGCAUGCUGGGCGGGCAUCUAGUGUGUGCCACUUGGCACUGUGCUGGGGCUGGAAAGACAGAAAUGAGUAUGACAUGAAAAAAAGGCAUCUCAGGGUAUAGUCACAAUAAAACAUGCUUUAAAUUCUGUAUCAGAGGCAUAGCUAAGGUUCCAUGAGCAUUCCAGCAAAAAGCCAUUUAUAAUAUUGGGACAGCAUGAAACAGAAAACCACAAGGAACAAUAAGGAGGUAGCUACCUUGCAGAGGAGAAAAAUUACAAAAUAGUAUGUACAGCAUAGUCUUACUUGGAAGCUCUAACCAGGUCACCAAGCUGUAUUUGUAUGACACACUACCCGGGGUAGUUUAAAUAUGUUUAAGUUGAAAAAAAACAAGAAGAAGAAGGACAUAUGAUAGAAAUUGUAUGAGACCAGGAAAGCCAAAGUUACUAUCUGGCCCUUUACAAAAAAUGUUUGCUGAUCCCUGGGCUAGAAAAAUAGAGAGAAACACAGAUACAAUUAUACACCAAAUUUCGUGUUGGUUAUCACAAGCAGCUACAAGUGGAUUAUUUUCUUCUCUGUGCUUUUCUACAUAUUCCUAAUUUUCUUCAGUGACCAUAAGUUAUUUACAAAUCAAGGUUGCAAAAAAGUUCUUGCCCUUUGAGCAAUUCCAAAUAGUCUUAGAAAAUAAUCAGAGAUGCAGAUAAAGAAUUUGCUGAAAAGAAAUCCAUCACAGUGCAAUUUACAAUAAUGAAAAAUUAGAAGCUCAAAUGCCAGCUACC